rfam:Erinaceus europaeus unplaced genomic scaffold scaffold00281, whole genome shotgun sequence
UUGCUUUGGCAGCACAUAAACUAAAAUUAGAAUGAUGCAGAGAAGAUUAACAUGGCCCUUGUGAAAGAAUGAUACACAAAUGUGUGAAGUAAUCCCCACUGAG